rnacentral:pre_miRNA from 1 species
UCCUAGUCCCUGAGACCCUAACUUGUGAGGAUUUUUGAGAAACAAUCACAAGUUAGGCUCUUGGGACCUAGG